rnacentral:rRNA from 1 species
UACGUAGGGUGUGAGCGUUAACCGGAAUUACUGGGCGUAAAGCGUGCGCAGGCGGCUAUGCAAGACAGAUGUGAAAUCCCCGGGCUCAACCUGGAAACUGCAUUUGUGACUGCAUGGCUAGAGUGUGGCAGAGGGGGAUGGAAUUCCGCGUGUAGCAGUGAAAUGCGUAGAUAUGCGGAGGAACACCGAUGGCGAAGGCAAUCCCCUGGGCCUGCACUGACGCUCAUGCACGAAAGCGUGGGGAGCAAACAGG